AGCGAACGCUAGCGGCGGGCCUAACACAUGCAAGUCGAGCGGGGGAGCAAUCCCCAGCGGCGGACGGGUGAGUAACACGUAGGUUAUGUGCCCUUUGGUGGGGAAUAACCGUGGGAAACCAUGGCUAAUUCCGCAUAUCGAGCGAAAUCUUGAAAGCCUUCGGGCGCCAAAGGAGCAACCUGCGGCCCAUUAGCUUGUUGGUAGGGUAACGGCCUACCAAGGCGAUGAUGGGUAGCUGGUCUGAGAGGAUGAUCAGCCACACUGGAACUGAGACACGGUCCAGACUCCUACGGGAGGCAGCAGUGGGGAAUAUUGCGCAAUGGGCGAAAGCCUGACGCAGCCACGCCGCGUGAGUGAUGAAGGCCUUCGGGUCGGUAAAACUCUGUCGGGAGGGACGAAGGGGGCGAACCCUCGACGGUACCUCGCAAGAAAGCACCGGCUAACUCUGUGCCAGCAGCCGCGGUAAU
rnacentral:rRNA from 1 species